GGCCAGUUGGCAGAGCGGUCGAAUGCCCCAGGUUGGCAAUCCUGGGUGCCCCUGAAGCAGGCACGUCGCGGGUUCGAAUCCCGCACUGGCCU
rnacentral:tRNA from 1 species